ensembl:lncRNA
GCCAAGGGCCUUAUCACUGCCCUGCCCGUGCUGUUUGCACCAGCCGUGUUAUCGCCCCAUGGCAACCACACACAACCGUGACUCAGCACAGCGCUGCUGGGAGCUCCUUGCGCCGAUGGACAAAGCAUCCUGCUGCAGAAAGUGGGCUCGAGAGCCCACCCGGGCGCCCUGCUGCAGGGCAGCCUCAGCACUGUGGCCCUUGAGAUGGGGGAGCCAAUAUCUGUGGGCUGUUCUCUGCGCUCGGUUCAGCUCAGCCCCGCAGUGCUACUGCUGUGUGGGACCCCCGGGAGAAAGGUGUCAUGCUGUGCAAUGGCCUCACCUCAUGCAAUGUUCUCAGGCUGUGCAGUGGUCCCAUGCUGUGCAAUGGUGUCGUGUUGUGCAGCAGUCCCAGGUUGCACAAUGGUCCCACUUCGUGCAACGGUGUCACGUGGUGCAGUGGUCUCAGGUUGUGGAGUGACCUCAUGCUGUGCAAUGGUCCCACGUAGUGCAGUGGUCAAAUGUUGUGCCAUGUUGUCAUGUUGUGUGCUGGUCUCAUGCUGUACAACAGUCCUCUGGAGGCUGGUGGCCAUGCCUGUGGCAGGAGAGUUGGAACCUGAUGAUCCUGAGGCCCCUUCCAACCCAAACCAUUCUAUGAUUCGACGUUGCAGAAUGGCCUCAUGUUGUGCAGUGGUCCCAGGUUGUGCCAGGGAAGGUUUAGAUUGGGCAUGAAGAAGAAUUCCUUCAUGGAGAGGGUGGUGAAGAGAGGAAUGCCCAUGGCUGUGGUGGAGUCCCCAUCCCUGGGGGUAUUUAAAAGGGCAUGAGGGCUGAGUGGUGGGACUUGGUAGGUCAGGUUAAUGGCUGGGCUUGGUGAUCUGGAAGGUCUUUUCUGACCUCAAUGAUUCUAUGAGCUGAGUAAAAUUUGUGAUGGACUUCAGGCCCAUCCCUGGUCCACCGUCAGCAUUCAUUGCUUCACAUGCACUGAGGGGAACAUAACCUAUACAGAAAGUGCAUUCCUCACCCAGCGGUUCCAUGCUGCAAACAGGAGGAGGAAGGCCCAGCUCUGAGCACAGCACUGCACCUUCCUGGCCCCACGGGAACCUUCCUUGCUCACAGGCACCUUCCACUAGUGAGUGCCCGGGGCUGCACAGUUUGGGACACAGCUCUCGUGGUUCCCACUGAGUGCUGCAUUUUUGGGGGAUGGGGGUCCUUCCCAGCUCCCUUCUUGCCUGGAGAUGGGGAACACCCACUGUCCAGCCUUGGGCAGUGGCCUUGCAGCCACUUUCUGCUCUCCUGAGCCCACAGCUGUGAGUUUGGGCCCUGCUCUGGCAGAGCCUCCUCCAUAGAACUCCCCAGAAGGAAUUCCCUGCUGAACGGGCACUUGUAGGACACGUGUGACAUACAGGACACAGCGUGACAUACAGGACACAGUGUGACAUACAGGACACAGUACGACCUACA